AUGGACCCGGCGCUGGCCGCUCAGAUAAGCGAGGCUGUGGCGGAGAAGGUGCUCCAGUAUCGGCGAGACGCGUCAGGCUGGAAGAUAUGCCGAGAAAGCAAUGGAAUUUCAGUUUCCUGGAGGCCAUCUGUGGAGUUUCCAGGCAACCUGUAAGUGCAUGCCUUGUUCUAAGCUUAUCAAAGAUGCCUCAUCCUGCCUGGUGUUUCUGUGAGUUUACUUCCUAUAAUCAGCCCUAGCAACCUGUGAUCACCUCGCCAAUUACCUUCCAGAAAAGCAUUAACUUCUGUUCUUAACUAAAUUAUUUCCAGCAAAUCAUAUUCUUGUGAAAGCUUACCAUCAUUUCUGCAGGUUGUGGGGGAGGUGAGCUAGUAAGUUCCAGUACCUUCUCUGCAGGUCCGUCCUGAAGAGCGGUAACAGACAUGGCAUGGUCCACCCUCUCGUCCUUAGAUGUAACCCCAAGAUGAACACACUUGACUGAUGCUUUGGGAUCAAAUUACUUUUUUGUGCUUGCUCCAGGUACCGAGGCGAAGGCAUUGUGUUGGGAACACCCAAGGAGGUGUGGGACUGUGUAAAGCCGGCUGCUGGGGGCCUGCGGGAGAAGUGGGAUGAAAAUGUGGCUAGUUUUGAAAUUAUCCAAAGCAUCACUGAUGUAAGUUUUUCCAAGUAUGUUAUCUAAGGACAUUGUCUGGGCCCUGCUAUAGUAACCUGACCCUGUCUGCUCUGGAGGGGGCCUGUCACACCUUUGGCACACACAGGCUGCCUACUGCUUGCAACAAACACUCAAGCCCAGCGUUGGUCCAUGUACAGGUUGAAAAAUAGCAUGACGCAGAGAGAGGCAGAGAAGCCCUAAACAGCCAACAAGACACAGCAGCUGAUAAGGAAAUUCAGGUGACCCUGGGCUCUGAGGAUACCGAGGCAAUGCCUGGAUUUGGCCCAUCACCUAUAGUUUGAAAUUCUGCCCCUUGAUGGGGCCGUGCUAAUGAAUUGAGAGAGCCCUGCCCCAUGAGUCAGCUGUGGGCCAGGGCCCACCCAGACCAGCACUGUCCAGUAGAACUUUCUGAGAUGAAGGAAAUACCUUAUCUGAAGGUGGCUAGUUUAAAGAAACGAAUCGUUAAUUCUAUUUAAAUCUGAUUAAUUAAAUGUAAAUUUAAAAUAGCCACAUGCAGCUGGUGGCUACCACCUUCCACAGUGGGGGUCUGCCUCAGUGUCCUCUUAGCUUUUAGAUCCUACCUCAUUUUGUUUACAGUUCAGGAAAACAAGGAAUAACCAAAACCAAUAAGCAAGUUCCCUUGCUUACCUGUUCACUUUAAAUAGGGUCUUAAUUUUGACAUCUGUGGCCCAGCAUACUUUUGGGUGUUUACCACAGAUGGUUGUGAAACAUCAAGUAGUAGCUCUCCACUGCCGAAUCUGGAUCUGUAGGAGCUGCUGUUCUUAGCCUUGACCAAGAAUUUACAUUUCCGUUCAUUUUUAGUUCAUUCUCAUAGGAGCUGAUGUCGCUGUACCUGAAGGGUGAGACACUUAUCCCUGGGGUAUAAAAGGUGAUUUUAGGUCUGUAUCAGUCAAAGCUGACAUUGAGUCCCAUAGUGAGGAGGUUACCCUGUUUCAAUUCUUAAUCUCUUUGGUAACUUGAAGGGGAUAGUCCCAGGUAGGUGCCUUUGCAGCCAGUUUUAACACUUGCCAACCUUCUUUAUAGUGAAAUAAAGCUGGCCUCAGGCUCAGAAUUAGAAUCUAAUAAUCCCUUGUGUUUAUAUUUUGCAGUUCUCUUUAUCUUAGGGAUAAGAUAUCUUAUCUUUUUUCCAUUUCUAAUAGUUAAAUAACUUCCUUUUAUAACCAACUUACUUAAAUUUUAGAAAGCAAGCACAUUGUAGGCGAUACCAGAGAUAGCCCCUCCCCCCAAAAAAAGGAUGGGAUGCAAAUAAUUAUACACAAAUGAUUGACAUUGAGGAAACACAGGGGAAUGCCCUUUAAAUACAUUUGUAUUAUGUAUUAAAUGCAUAAUACAAAUGUGCUAACAGGACCGUAUGUAGAAUUUUCCUCUUGAAAUAAAAGGGGCUAAUAUUUGUAGUAUGUUUGCACUCCUUUGUCUCAAUACAGCAAGUAGUGGCACAAGCGAGAGAAUGGAAGGCCUAGAACAUUAUAGUGAGAAACCUGAGCUGCCAUAGUUAUGAUUAAGUGAUAGCACUGAGUCAUUUUACAUGAUGCUACAAGCUCAAAGUACUUUGAAAUGCUGGGGAACAGAAACUGUUUGACAGGGAUAAAGAGAUGUACCCAAGUUUCCACAGGUAACAAGUGGCACAGGGGGAGUUGAGAGCGGGCUGGUGACUCACAAUUCCAGGCUCUCGGUCUUUAGAGGUACGACCUUCCAGAGAGCCAGAGAAUCAACUUCUGACCUCCUGCCUUCAUCCCAGCUCCAGUUCUGGGUCCUGGAGACCCAAGUGCUUAAAGGCCCUGGGAGUGAUGUGCUUUCCUCAUUGUUGCUUAGCAACCUCCCAACUGCCACAGGUUGGUUGGACUGUAUAUAGCUGUGCUGCAUUCUACACUGGUACCAGUUCUUCCCUUCAUCCUAGCUUGCCAGUGGGGUUAAGUAGAUGAUGCUGGGCUUGGGAGAGGGUAUCUCUUCUCUGGACACCCAGUUUGUCUUUAGAGGGAGUAUGCCCAUUCCCUGUGUGAGGCUGCUGGCCCUUCAAUCCCUGGCAGCUACUUCCCUGGAGGCCAGGCCAGUAUCAGCCCCAGAGCCCUAGGUACCCUGCCCUACUCCAGUGAGUCCUGUGGUGCAAGAGUCUUCAAACUUUUUGCUUAUGUCCCUCCAACAGAUUCUUAAGAAAUUAUACAUCAUCCCCACACAUCCAGUUAACAUCCCCAGGUUGUUGAUAGCUGCAUUUUCACAAGUUGCUGAUCAUGUCAUUUUUGACAUGUAAUAAAUCUGUCAACUUUGAAUAAAGCAAGGGCAUCAUUUUUAGAGCUAUCCAUAAAAUAUAUGAACUUUUAUUUACUGUCACCCAUCUUAAGAAUACAUGAGCCAAUUUUCUUAGUCAUAAACUAUAUACAAUUAUUUUCCUUGAGCAUUAAUUUCCAUUUCAUACAACAAUCUGAAUUUUACCCUAAGAUAAUACAUGUUUAUUCUUGAAAGUCAUCGUAUUGCAUCAUAAAGGUGCAUAUACAUAGAAACUAACUUUUAAGAAAAUCGUGUAUUGGGCAGUGCCUGUGGCUCAGUGGGAAGGGUACCGGCCCCAUAUACUGAAGGUGGUGGGUUUGAAUCUAGCCCCAGCCAAACUGCAACAAAAAAACAGCUGGGCAUUGUGGUAGACACCUGUAGUCCCAGCUACUCAAGAGGCUGAGGCAAGAGAAUCGCUUAAGUCCAAGAGCUGGAGGUUGCUGUGAGCUGUGACGACACAGCACUCUAUCAAGGGCAAUAAAGUAAGAGACCCUGUUUCUAAAAAAAAAAAAAAAGAAAAAGAAAGAAAGAAAGAAGGGUGGUGCCUGUGGCUCAAAGGAGUAGGGCACCAGGCCCAUAUACCGGAGGUGGCAGGUUCAAACCCAGCCCUGGCCAAAAACUGCAAAAAAAAAAAAAAAAAAAAAAAACAAUCAUGUAUUUCCUAUAACCAUGAGACUCUAAGUUUUAAAAAAAUCUGAAUUGAAGUAUGUUAAUAAUUCAUUAAAAUGAUAUAAUUAUAUUAUGAAUUUUGUUGAAGAACUGUUAAACCCAAAAAGUUAAAUACUGUAGGACCUCCACAGCUAACCACCACCCUACUCUGACCACCUCCUUAAGGUGACCUAAUUUUCAUAGAUCAGAAACACAACACAUGUAUGUUUCAGUACAGCAGGCCUAGUUCCUUAUGUUGACUAACUCUGCAUGUUGACCAGUUUGUUACAAUCCAUUGGGUGGUCAACUUACAGAUGUUUUGCUGUGUUUUGCCUCUCUGCAUGAGAUGAAUGAAUGCUCUUUUUAAAAAUUAGUUUAUGUGUCAAUGAAAAGAUAGAAUUUCUUACUAGAAAUAUACAGCCUUUAUUAGACCUGAAGUAUGAAAAGGAGGAAAAGCACAGACAGCUCACAGGUGAGCUCAUCUUGACAAAAAAGUAGAGGAGAAGUUGACAAGUGUUAGCUAUUUAUCAUUCAGUGAAACGGUGAAAAUGUGGAGAAAGGGACCUUCCUCACAGAUUGACAUAUGUCAGCAUGAUGUUGACAAACCUCAAAUAUUAUAAUUCUAUAAUAGGUAGAUGACAAAUAAAUGGAUAAAUGUGUGGAUGGAAGGGUGUGUAGAUGGAUGGAUGGAUGAUGGAUAGGUGAGUGAAUUGAUGGAUGGAUGGAUAGACGUGUGGAUGAAUGGAUGGAUGGUUAGAUGGAUGUGUGGAUGGAUGGAUGGAUGAUGAAUGGGUGUGUGGAUGGAUGGAUGGAUGGAUGUGUGGAUGAAUGGAUUGAUGUGUGGAUAGAUGGAUGGCUGGAUGGAUGGAUGGGUGAGUGAAUGGGUGGAUGGAUUGAAUGGAUGAUGGAUAGAUGAAUGGAUGAUGGAUGGGUGAGUGAAUAGAUGGAUGGAUGUGUGGAUGGGUGGAUGGAUGGAUGGAUGAUGGGUGGGUGAGUGAAAAGAUGGAUGGAUGGAUAGAUGGAUGGAUGUGUGGAUGGAUGGAUGAUGGAUGGGUGAGUGAAUGGAUGGAUGGAUGGAUGUGUGGAUGGAUGGAUGAUGGAUGGGUGAGUGAAUGGAUGGAUGGAUGAUGGAUGGGUGAAUGGAUGGGUGAGUGAAUGGAUGGAUGGAUGUGUGGAUGGAUGGAUGGAUGGAUGAUGGACGGGCGAGUGGAUGUAUGGAUGGAUAGAUGUGUGGAUGGAUAGAUGAAUGGAUGAUGGAUGAUGGAUGUAUGUGUGGAUGGAUGAUAGAUGGAUGUGUGGAUGGAUGAAUGGAUGGAUGGAUGAUGGAUGAGUGAGUGAAUAGAUGGAUGGAUGAUGGAUGGGUGGAUGAAUGGAUAUAGAGCCAUGCUCUGAGUUUGUUACAUUUAGGACAUGAGCUGCUGCCUCGUUAUUUCUGUCCAAAGUCCUCUUCAUCUUGGUGUCCAGACACCAUUCCUUAAGAGUGAUGCAUUUGAGAGGAGUAUUCAGAGGUGGAAACAGUAUAAUUUUUUUUUAAUUUUGUCCCUGCUACCACUGCUACCAUUCUACUGCAAAAUAUCAGAAUUUAGAAAUGAUGAAACUGCCUUCUGUGUAACACCAAGCUUGGUAAUAGGAGAAAAAUCAUGAGAUUCUAGCACAAGUGUGUAGCACCUUGAUUAAAUAUUUCAAUCAACAUUCCUAACUGUCCCUUUGGUACCCU